rnacentral:misc_RNA from 1 species
AACCUUAUGGACCUGCGGGCGUAUACCUGCGGAAGGAUCAUUACUGUGAUUUACUACUACACUGCGUGAGCGGAACGAAAACAACAACACCUAAAAUGUGGAAUAUAGCAUAUAGUCGACAAGAGAAAUCUACGAAAAAACAAACAAAACUUUUAACAACGGAUCU